UACUGACGCUGAGGCACGAAAGCGUGGGUAGCGAACGGGAUUAGAUACCCCGGUAGUCCACGCUGUAAACGAUGUGAACGAGGUGUGGGCAGUGUAGAAGCCGUCUGUGCCGGAGCAAACGCGAUAAGUUCACCGCCUGGGGAGUACGGUCGCAAGGCUAAAACCCAAAGGAAUUGACGGGGGCCCGCACAAGCAGCGGAGCGUGUGGUUUAAUUCGAUGCAACGCGAAGAACCUUACCUGGGCUUGACAUGUACGUAGUAGUGAAGGGAAACCGGAACGAGCCUUCGGGCAGCGUAGACAGGUGCUGCAUGGCUGUCGUCAGCUCGUGUCGUGAGAUGUUGGGUUAAGUCCCGCAACGAGCGCAACCCGUGUUGCUAGUUACAAGUGUCUAGCGAGACUGCCGGUAACAAGCCGGAGGAAGGUGCGGAUGAUGUCAAGUCAGCAUGGCCUAUAUGUCCAGGGCUACACACACGCUACAAUGGCUGGUACAAAGAGAAGCGAAAGGGAGACCUGAAGCGAAUCUCAUCAAAGCCAGUCAUAGUUCGGAUUGCAGGCUGCAACUCGCCUGCAUGAAGUCGGAGUUGCUAGUAACCGCAGGUCAGCAAUACUGCGGUGAAUACGUUCCCGGGCCUUGUACACACCGCCCGUA
rnacentral:rRNA from 1 species